rnacentral:rRNA from 1 species
AUGGUGGGGGUGAGCGCCGGGACGGGGGCAAUGGGCUCCCUCCUCGCCAAGCUCACCGCGCUUCUCAGCGACGAGUACAAGCUCCUGAAGUGCGUCCGAAAGGAGAUCGAGUUCCUCAAGCGCGAGCUCGAGAGGAUGCGGAUCCUGUUGGAGAGGCUGGCGGACAUGGAGGGGAGGCUCGACGGCCUGGCCAGGGGCUGGAGAGACAGCGUGCGCGACCUCAGCUACGACAUGGAAGACUGCAUCGACCGCUUCAUGGACCGGCUUGGCAGCGGCGACGCCAAACCCAAGUUCAUGAAGAGGACGGCGCGCCGGCUCAAGACUCUGUGGGCGCGCCAUGACAUCGCGACCCAGAUCAAGGAGCUCAUGGCUCGCGUCAUGGAGGAAAGUGAGCGGCGUGACAGGUACAAGCUUGACGAGAGUUGUUACAGUCUAACGAAGAGGGUGGAGAUUGACCCACGGAUAACCUCGCUUCACGAGGAGGUCAAGGACUUGGUGGCAGUGGACGGCCGAGUGAAGCAAGUUACUGCUUUGUUGAUGGAUGAGAGUAUGGAGCUCAAAAUGUUGCCGAUUGUCGGGUCCGGAGGGUUGGGGAAAACGACCCUGGCCAUGGAGGUGUACCGCAAGAUUGGGGUGGACUUCUAG